rnacentral:rRNA from 2 species
GGCGGACGGGUGAGUAAUGUCUGGGAAACUGCCUGAUGGAGGGGGAUAACUACUGGAAACGGUAGCUAAUACCGCAUAACGUCGCAAGACCAAAGUGGGGGACCUUCGGGCCUCUUGCCAUCGGAUGUGCCCAGAUGGGAUUAGCUUGUUGGUGGGGUAACGGCUCACCAAGGCGACGAUCCCUAGCUGGUCUGAGAGGAUGACCAGCCACACUGGAACUGAGACACGGUCCAGACUCCUACGGGAGGCAGCAGUGGGGAAUAUUGCACAAUGGGCGCAAGCCUGAUGCAGCCAUGCCGCGUGUAUGAAGAAGGCCUUCGGGUUGUAAAGUACUUUCAGCGGGGAGGAAGGGAGUAAAGUUAAUACCUUUGCUCAUUGACGUUACCCGCAGAAGAAGCACCGGCUAACUCCGUGCCAGCAGCCGCGGUAAUACGGAGGGUGCAAGCGUUAAUCGGAAUUACUGGGCGUAAAGCGCACGCAGGCGGAUUGUUAAGUCAGAUGUGAAAUCCCCGGGCUCAACCUGGGAACUGCAUCUGAUACUGGCAAGCUUGAGUCUCGUAGAGGGGGGUAGAAUUCCAGGUGUAGCGGUGAAUUGCGUAGAGAUCUGGAGGAAUACCGGUGGCGAAGGCGGCCCCCUGGACGAAGACUGACGCUCAGGUGCGAAAGCGUGGGGAGCAAACAGGAUUAGAUACCCUGGUAGUCCACGCCGUAAACGAUGUCGACUUGGAGGUUGUGGCCUUGAGGCGUGGCUUCCGGAGCUAACGCGUUAAGUCGACCGCCUGGGGAGUACGGCCGCAAGGUUAAAACUCAAAUGAAUUGACGGGGGCCCGCACAAGCGGUGGAGCAUGUGGUUUAAUUGGAUGCAACGCGAAGAACCUUACCUGGUCUUGACAUCCACGGAAGAUUUCAGAGAUGAGAAUGUGCCUUCGGGAACCGUGAGACAGGUGCUGCAUGGCUGUCGUCAGCUCGUGUUGUGAAAUGUUGGGUUAAGUCCCGCAACGAGCGCAACCCUUAUCCUUUGUUGCCAGCGGUCCGGCCGGGAACUCAAAGGAGACUGCCAGUGAUAAACUGGAGGAAGGUGGG